rnacentral:misc_RNA from 1 species
AUUUUUUAUAUUUUUUUAAUGUUCAUGUUUUUGAAUGUUUUAUUCAAAUAAUGUAAAAAAUAAAAUAGAUAUUGACAUGGAUUGAACAAAAGAUAUAUAUUAUUUUAUGUUGCAUAAACAAAUUGGCAAAAUAGAGAUGGAAGAUAAAAAUAUGGUCAAAGUAAUAAGAGUCUAUGGUGAAUGCCUAGGAGCUUUAAGGCGAAGAAGGUCGUGGUAAGCUGCGAAAAGCUUGGGGGAGAAGCAAACAUUUAUUGAUCCCAAGAUUACCGAAUGGAGUAAUCCAACUAGCAAGAUGCUAG